rnacentral:tRNA from 1 species
GUCUUUUGAGUAUGAUGAGUACAUUUGCCUUCCAAGCAAAAAGUUAAAGUAAUUUUAAAAAGAUA